GACAAAGGGGGCUAGCGUUGUUCGGAAUUACUGGGCGUAAAGGGCCAGUAGGCGGCCAACUAAGUCCGACGUGAAAUCCCCAGGCUUAACCUGGGAACUGCGUCGGAUACUGGAUGGCUUGAAUUCGGGAGAGGGAUGCAGAAUUCCAGGUGUAGCGGUGAAAUGCGUAGAUAUCUGGAGGAACACCGGUGGCGAAGGCGGCAUCCUGGACCGGUAUUGACGCUGAGGCGCGAAAGCCAGGGGAGCAAACGGG
rnacentral:rRNA from 1 species